AGAGUUUGAUCCUGGCUCAGGAUGAACGCUGGCGGCGUGCUUAACACAUGCAAGUCGAACGAAGCAUUUAAGACAGAUUACUUCGGUUUGAAGUCUUUUAUGACUGAGUGGCGGACGGGUGAGUAACGCGUGGGUAACCUGCCUCAUACAGGGGGAUAACAGUUGGAAACGACUGCUAAUACCGCAUAAGCGCACAGUACCGCAUGGUACAGUGUGAAAAACUCCGGUGGUAUGAGAUGGACCCGCGUCUGAUUAGCUUGUUGGCGGGGUAACGGCCCACCAAGGCGACGAUCAGUAGCCGACCUGAGAGGGUGACCGGCCACAUUGGGACUGAGACACGGCCCAGACUCCUACGGGAGGCAGCAGUGGGGAAUAUUGCACAAUGGAGGAAACUCUGAUGCAGCGACGCCGCGUGAGUGAAGAAGUAAUUCGUUAUGUAAAGCUCUAUCAGCAGGGAAGAUAGUGACGGUACCUGACUAAGAAGCUCCGGCUAAAUACGUGCCAGCAGCCGCGGUAAUACGUAUGGAGCAAGCGUUAUCCGGAUUUACUGGGUGUAAAGGGAGUGUAGGUGGCCAGGCAAGUCAGAAGUGAAAGCCCGGGGCUCAACCCCGGGACUGCUUUUGAAACUGCAGGGCUAGAGUGCAGGAGGGGCAAGUGGAAUUCCUAGUGUAGCGGUGAAAUGCGUAGAUAUUAGGAGGAACACCAGUGGCGAAGGCGGCUUACUGGACGAUAACUGACGCUGAGGCUCGAAAGCGUGGGGAGCAAACAGGAUUAGAUACCCUGGUAGUCCACGCCGUAAACG
rnacentral:rRNA from 1 species